UAGAAGAUAGCUCAGUUGGUAGAGCAUGAGACUCUUAAUCUCAGGGUUGUGGGUUUGAGACCCAUAUUGAGCAAAA